rnacentral:rRNA from 1 species
GAACGGGUGAGUAACGCGUGAGGAACCUGCCUCAAAGAGGGGGACAACAGUUGGAAACGACUGCUAAUACCGCAUAAGCCCACGGCUCGGCAUCGAGCAGAGGGAAAAGGAGCAAUCCGCUUUGAGAUGGCCUCGCGUCCGAUUAGCUAGUUGGUGAGGUAACGGCCCACCAAGGCGACGAUCGGUAGCCGGACUGAGAGGUUGAACGGCCACAUUGGGACUGAGACACGGCCCAGACUCCUACGGGAGGCAGCAGUGGGGAAUAUUGCACAAUGGGGGAAACCCUGAUGCAGCGACGCCGCGUGGAGGAAGAAGGUCUUCGGAUUGUAAACUCCUGUUGUUGAGGAAGAUAAUGACGGUACUCAACAAGGAAGUGACGGCUAACUACGUGCCAGCAGCCGCGGUAAAACGUAGGUCACAAGCGUUGUCCGGAAUUACUGGGUGUCAAGGGAGCGCAGGCGGGAGAACAAGUUGGAAGUGAAAUCCAUGGGCUCA